UGAGGAAUAUUGCACAAUGGGGAAGCCCUGAUGCAGCGACGCCGCGUGAGCGAUGAAGUAUUUCGGUAUGUAAAGCUCUAUCAGCAGGGAAGAAAGUGACAGUACCUGACUAAGAAGCCCCGGCUAACUACGUGCCAGCAGCCGCGGUAAUACGUAGGGGCAAGCGUUAUCCGGAUUUACUGGGUGUAAAGGGAGCGUAGACGGCGCAGCAAGUCUGAUGUGAAAAGGCCGGGGCUCAACCCCGGGCAGCUGCAUUGGAAACUGUCAGGCUAGAGUGCCGGAGAGGUAAGCGGAAUUCCUAGUGUAGCGGUGAAAUGCGUAGAUAUUAGGAGGAACACCAGUGGCGAAGGCGGCUUACUGGACGGUAACUGACGUUGAGGCUCGAAAGCGUGGGGAGCAAACAGGAUUAGAUACCC
rnacentral:rRNA from 1 species